GACCCCGGACCAAUCAGAAUUCGCGCGAGCGAGAAAUGGCCAACGUCGUGUCGCUGGGUUCGAGCGUAUCUUUGCGCGUCGUUUUGUGAACCCCGUAGUCCCGCAAUAUCACGUUGACGUCUGUCGCCAUUUCCUCGCACGGAGGAGAGACCGUCCGUUUAUUUUGCAAGCAAUGGCAGAAGGAAAUGGGGAAAUAAAAAUGGAAGAAAAGCAAGAAAUGGAAAAUUUGGAAAGGACAGAAGAUUUUAACAAACUUAUGCAAUAUGGACUAGAUGAGAAAGUGGCUGCCAAACUGGACGAGAUUUAUAAAACGGGAAAAUUGGCUCAUGUUGAUCUAGAUGAAAGAGCUCUUGACGCUUUAAAAGAAUUUCCAGUUGAUGGUGCACUAAAUGUGCUUACACAAUUUCUGGAAUCUAAUCUAGAACAUGUAUCUAACAAAUCGGCAUACCUUUGUGGAGUAAUGAAGACAUACAGACAGAAGAGUCGUGCAGGUCAAGGAACAGGCACCAGCACAACACCUAAAGCCCCGGAUGAGGACAAAAUUAAAAUGAUUCUGGAGAGAACAGGAUAUCCUUUGGAUGUAACUACUGGACAAAGGAAAUAUGGUGGUCCUCCACCAAAUUGGGAAGGCCCAACUCCUGGCACUGGUUGUGAGGUAUUUUGUGGCAAAAUUCCAAAAGACAUGUAUGAAGACGAAUUAAUUCCGCUAUUCGAAAAAUGCGGAAAAAUAUGGGAUUUGAGACUGAUGAUGGACCCCAUGUCAGGUUCCAACAGAGGAUACGCAUUUAUCACAUUUACUAAUAGGGAAGCUGCACAGCAAGCUGUUCGAGAGCUCGAUAAUCACGAAAUAAAACCCGGCAAGAGUCUGAAAGUAAACAUUAGUGUUCCUAAUCUACGACUUUUCGUGGGAAACAUACCAAAGUCAAAAGGCAAAGAGGAGAUCUUGGAGGAAUUUGGUAAAUUAACAGCUGGCCUGACGGAGGUGAUUAUCUACAGCUCACCAGAUGACAAAAAGAAGAAUAGAGGUUUUUGCUUUUUGGAAUAUGAAUCUCACAAAGCAGCUUCCUUAGCCAAGCGAAGGUUGAGUACUGGACGUAUCAAGGUUUGGGGAUGUGAUAUUAUUGUUGAUUGGGCCGAUCCUCAAGAGGAACCAGAUGAACAGACUAUGUCCAAAGUACGUGUGCUCUAUGUACGAAAUUUAACGCAAGAUUGUUCUGAGGAGAAGUUGAAAGAAAGCUUCGAACAAUAUGGUAAAAUUGAGCGAGUGAAGAAAAUCAAGGAUUACGCCUUUAUACAUUUUGAAGAUAGAGAUAAUGCUGUUAAAGCAAUGAACGAAUUAAACGGCAAAGAAAUGGGUGGAUCUCACAUAGAAGUCUCGUUGGCGAAACCACCAUCUGAUAAAAAGAAGAAAGAAGAAAUGUUGCGCGCUAGAGAGAGACGAAUGAUGCAAAUGUUACAAGGUAGAGGCGGUUUUCCUUUUGAUAGUGGAUCUCCAUCUCAUCCGAGUAUGAUGGGUGGACCAAUGCCAGUUCGUGGACCUGCACAGGGACCUCGGGGAACCGGUGCAGGUAUGCGUGGACAAAUGGGACGAGGCGAUUAUGCUACCAGUGCAAUAGCUUGUGUCGCUUAAAAGUUCCUACGCCAACCAAUCAGUUCGCUUUUCGCUUUACUACAUUGGAUAACUCUGCUAACUCCUACUGCUGUAUGUAAAAACGUGGCUGGUCGUGGCCGUGGAGUAGUGCCACGUGGCCGAAUCGGUGGCCCGCAAGCCCGUGGGCCAGUCAGGGGGGGACGCAACCCCGCAGCUUCAGGGGUCCGUGGGG
rnacentral:misc_RNA from 1 species